GAUGAACGCUGGCGGCGCGCCUAACACAUGCAAGUCGAACGGUUAAAGCACCUUUUAGGUGUGUAUAAAGUGGCGAACGGCUGAGUAACACGUGGGCAACCUGCCCUCCUCUUGGGGAUAGCCUCGGGAAACCGAGGAUAAUACCCGAUACUUCAAUGUGGCCGCAUGACGACAUUGAGAAAGCUUUUGCGGAGAAGGAUGGGCCCGCGGCCUGUUAGCUUGUUGGUGGGGUAGAGGCCUACCAAGGCAAUGAUGGGUAGCUGGGUUGAGAGACCGACCAGCCAGAUUGGGACUGAGACACGGCCCAGACUCCUACGGGAGGCAGCAGUGGGGAAUCUUGCACAAUGGGCGAAAGCCUGAUGCAGCGACGCCGCGUGCGGGACGAAGGCCUUUCGGGUUGUAAACCGCUUUUCAGCAGGGACGAGGCGAAAGUGACGGUACCUGCAGAAGAAGCCCC
rnacentral:rRNA from 2 species